UCCCCCUGGCAAUGGGUAAAGAGACACCUUGUUGGCAGUGUUACUCUUAUGCCAGUCAGGGGCAGAGUCAACAGUUCUCUCCUUUGUUUAUUAUGGCUCAAUGCCUGACUUGGUGGCCCAAGCAGUUUUAUGCCUAGGACACACGA